UACGUAGGGGGCAAGCGUUGUCCGGAAUCAUUGGGCGUAAAGCGCGUGUAGGCGGCCCGGUAAGUCCGCUGUAAAAGUCCAGGGCUCAACCCUGGAAAGCCGGUGGAUACUGUCGGGCUCGAGUCCGGAAGAGGCGAGUGGAAUUCCUGGUGUAGCGGUGAAAUGCGCAGAUAUCAGGAGGAACACCAAUGGCGAAGGCAGCUCGCUGGGACGGUACUGACGCUGAGACGCGAAAGCGUGGGGAGCAAACAGG
rnacentral:rRNA from 1 species